UACGUAGGGUGCGAGCGUUGUCCGGAAUUAUUGGGCGUAAAGAGCUUGUAGGCGGUCUGUCGCGUCUGCUGUGAAAAUCCGGGGCUCAACCCCGGACUUGCAGUGGGUACGGGCAGACUAGAGUGUGGUAGGGGAGACUGGAAUUCCUGGUGUAGCGGUGAAAUGCGCAGAUAUCAGGAGGAACACCGGUGGCGAAGGCGGGUCCCUGGGCAAUAACUGACGCUGAGGAGCGAAAGCGUGGGGAGCGAACAGG
rnacentral:rRNA from 1 species